UCCCUAGUAGAUUGGGAACAAUCCCUUGUUGAAAUUGCCUUCUAAACACUUAGAGAGAAGGAGACAGCACGGAGCAGCCUGCCAAGCUCAGUGUGUUCCUGUGUGUGUAUUCUCACACUGCCUGCUAUCCUAGCCAAGGUAGAGAGACCUCUGAGAGAACGCAUGCAUGUGUGUGUGGAGGAGAGAGAGAGAGAGGGUAUUAUGCACUGUGGAUGUUGCCUCGUGUUUAACCAGCCUGCCUGCAAGCCCAGGUACUGCCUGCCUGCGCGCCGGCUUCUAAAUAAGCAGCACAUUCACCGUCCCCUUAAGGACAGGAGGCUAGGCUGCAGAGUGUGAAAUCKCACUAAUAGUCAGUACAGUAGCUAGCGCUGAGCAGSAGCCAGAGCAGGAGUCAGCUCCUACAUGACUUACUACUGUAGGUAGAGGACAAGCAGGACCAGAAGAGACAGUGGGGAUUGGACGUCAGAGGGAAAAGAAAAAGAAAAUACAGAAAGGUCUAUGAAGAAGGUUCCUGGUAACGCCACGGCAACAAUCGGUUCAGUUCCACUGUGUAAGGAGGGGGGCGUUUGAACAUUCUGAUCUCCUGCGGCCUGAUGGGACGUGGACUGCCUCCUCCACUUCAACACAACACUCCCAAUACACAUCACACUCACUGACUGAAUGGGGAUACAAACAGCUCUUUACUAUUUACAC